AGCACGGGAGAGCCUUGAGGGUAUCAUACGGAUGAAACUGUACAUCAACAGUGACUGAAAUGAUACAUUUUAGUUUGUGGCCACAUCCCAUAAUAUAACAAAAUGAAAUACAAUAAAAAUACAUCCCAAUUGAAAAGCCACUUAGGUUUAGAUGCUAAAAAGAAAAAAAAAAACAGCUUGUCUCAGAUACCUUUAGUAAUUCCUACAUAAGAUCAAGAAAAGGGUGUGUGUGUGUGUGUGUGUGUGUGUGUGUGUGUGAGAGACAGAGAGACAGAGAGACAGAGACAGAGAACAUACAAGCCACACACUUUCAUUUAAAUUCUUUUUAAAAAGUCUAUAAUACUUAACAUUUAAUAGUUAAAAAUUAUAUGUGAGUAAGUAGGACACACAUGCAGGUUCACUAUGCUCAUGACUAUCUUUUUGAAGAGAUUUAACAAGCCCCCAAAUGGGCCCAAAGCAUCCAUAUCUCAAGAUCUUUCUCUUUCACAAAAGCAGAUGGACAAUAUGGAUGCCUUUCAUUUGCUGAGGAAGUUUCCAGGCUUUUAGUACACACAACACUUACGUAUGAGUAAAGCAGUUAAAAUCAUCAAAGCAACAUUGGUGUUUUCCAGGGACUGGAGGAAAGACAGAGAAGGCAGUCACCAGCCAAGAAGUACAAAAUUUCAGUUGUGCAACAUAAAAUUACUAGGUA
rnacentral:lncRNA from 1 species